rnacentral:rRNA from 1 species
UUGGAGGGCAAGUCUGGUGCCAGCAGCCGCGGUAAUUCCAGCUCCAAUGGCGUAUAUUAAAGUUGUUGCAGUUAAAAAGCUCGUAGUUGAAUUUCGGGGUUAGUAGGUUGGUCAUGCCUCUGGUAUGUACUGGUCUCACUGAUUCCUCCUUCCUGAUGAACCUUAAUGCCAUUUAUUUGGUGUUUUGGGGAAUUUGGACUGUUACUUUGAAAAAAUUAGAGUGUUUAAAGCAAGCUAACGCUUGAAUACAUUAGCAUGGAAUAAUGAAAUAGGACGUUCGAUCCUAUUUUGUUGGUUUCUAGGAUUGACGUAAUGAUUAAUAGGGAUAGUUGGGGGCAUUAGUAUUCAAUUGUCAGAGGUGAAAUUCUUGGAUUUAUUGAAGACUAACUACUGCGAAAGCAUUUGCCAAGGAUGUUUUCAUUAAUCAAGAACGAAAGUUAGGGGAUCGAAGACGAUCAGAUACCGUCGUAGUCUUAACCAUAAACUAUGCCGACUAGGGAUCGGAUGAUGUUAAUUUUUUAAUGACUCAUUCGGCGCCUUACGGGAAACCAAAGUGUUUGGGUUC